AACUCCGUGUUCUCAAUCUCCUUACGAAAGAAUGUUGUUUUUCCGGAAUUGCACGAAAUCCUCCGGUUAACAACCCUACUUUAUGGAAGUCCUCUACUAUAAUAUGACACAAAACCCGGCAACCGCGUAUGUUGGUGAAGGGCCGCCGAGAGUGGGGGUGCAGGGCCACCGAGAGAGGGGGUAGCUUUGAAUAUACUAAAGCACCUCAAACCGGCUUAGCUCACAUUCAUGUUGAUCUGUCAGGGUUAUGGAAAAAUAAAAAGUUGAGUUCCUUUUCUUAUGGCUGACUUGAAUUUGACCUACCUAAAGCCUAAUAAUAAUGAAAUAAUGUUUC